CGCGUGUAGCAGUGAAAUGCGUAGAGAUGUGGAGGAAUACCGAUGGCGAAGGCAGCCCCCUGGGAUAGAACUGACGCUCAGGCACGAAAGCGUGGGUAGCAAACAGGAUUAGAUACCCUGGUAGUCCACGCCCUAAACGAUGUCUACUUGCUGUUGGGGGUAAAACCUAAGUAGCGAAGCUAACGCGAGAAGUAGACCGCCUGGGGAGUACGGUCGCAAGAUUAAAACUCAAAGGAAUUGACGGGGACCCGCACAAGCGGUGGAUGAUGCGGAUUAAUUCGAUGCAACGCGAAAAACCUUACCUGCUCUUGACAUGUUAGAAAUCCUGCAGAGAUGUGGGAGUGCCUUCGGGAAUCUAAACACAGGUGCUGCAUGGCUGUCGUCAGCUCGUGUCGUGAGAUGUUGUCUUAAGUGACGCAACGAGCGCAACCCUUGUCAUUAGUUGCCAUCAUUAAGUUGGGCACUCUAAUGAUACUGCCGGUGAUAAACCGGAGGAAGGUGGGGAUGACGUCAAGUCCUCAUGGCCCUUAUGAGCAGGGCUUCACGCGUCAUACAAUGGUCGGUACAAACGGUUGCGAAGCAGUGAUGCGGAGCUAAUCCGAGAAAGCCGAUCUCAGUCCGGAUUGUAGUCUGCAACUCGACUACAUGAAGUCGGAAUCGCUAGUAAUCGCNNNUCAGCAUGCUGCGGUGAAUACGUUCCCGGGUCUUGUACACACCGCCCGUCACACCAUGGGNNUG
rnacentral:rRNA from 1 species